AAUCAUAGCAAGGAAAAGAAUAUCAGACAAUAGGGGAGGAAAAAAACAAUGUUCCGAAUAGGUCUAUACACCGCAGACAUUUUUUAAUCUACACUGUAUGUUAAUUUAUAGACUAUAUUACUUCUUCCCAGACACUUUCACCCGAAAGUCCAUGUCUCUGAAAUUGAUUAAUGUUUCUUACGGAACAACCACAGCAACCAAGUAAGUUUCACAACAAAUUUGUCAUAAAUUCAAAUUGUUCAUUAAAGAAAUGUCUGCUUUUUUUCCUCUUAGAAAGACACAUUUUCUUAAUGUUUCAAAAUACAGCAAAAGGGCACAGAUGGGCACAAAAAAAUCAAAUAUAUGUGUUUUACAGAAAAUGUGAUUUAAAAAGAAUUGAGGUGUUCAAAGAUUGUUCAUAAUGAGUUGAUAGAAUUCUGGCUGGAUAAAAGCGGUCAUUCUCACUGGCUUCAAGAGAAUCUCGUCCCCUACACGAGUCUGACCAGCUGGUAUUUGUGUAACUGGAACCCUGAAGGAGGGAAGCAUGCCUACCACAGGUAAGUCUUUGUUGCAGGGUACAUUGCUAUACGGAACAAAGGCACAGACCAACAUUUGGACUGAGUCGUCACAUCUGAGGGGCGUGCUCAUUUUCGAGCUGUCUGACUCAGCUUCCACAAAUAGAACAACUCCAGCCAGCUUAGAAACACAAACGGAACAGGAUCCCCCAAGGCGGUGUGGGAGCCUUGGCUCGCUGAGUCCAACUGGCAUGAACACUAUGAAGGAAAAGGGCACCUAACUGACUGUGGCACUGAAUGAAGACCUCAGGAGCCAGACCUGCACAAGGCUAGCUCCAUGACUACCAUGCACAUCUGCUUCCUCAGUACCCUAGCCCAGUGCUACACGUUCAAGUCAACCACCAUCUAUCAGCUAGAUGAUGUUGGUUGAAACAUAAAGGAAGGCCUGAAAGCUAAACGUUCAGAGAUGUGCAUUGGAUGGAUGUGAGAUAUGAACGUGAGGCCCAGGAAGGUUAAGAAGCUCGCCCAAGGGGUUGGGGAUUUGGCUCAGUGGUAGAGCGCUUGCCUAGGAAGCGCAAGGUCCUGGGUUCGAUCCCCAGCCCCGAAAAAAAAGAAAAAAAAAGAUUAUUAAAAAAAAAAGAUUAUAAAAAAAAAAAAGAAGCUCCUCCAAUGUGUCAAAGAUACUGAAGCAGCAGGAGGGAAAUGACUACAGGGUACUAGAGGUUGAAGAGAAGAGCCAGUUGUAAAGAGCAGGUAGAGAACCUAGAAAAGGGUGUGGCUCUUGAGUGUCCGCCAGGAACUGGGGGAGUAAUCGAAUAGGAAGAGACCAAGAGAAUGCAAGGGACUGGGAUGGAGAAAGGGUCUCAUGGAAAGAAGUGAUGGAUGCUGGUGGAGCCAACUAGGGGGCGGGAGCCAGGCUAAGGCAGCAGGUGAAUUGAUGGGACAAGAGGAAGCUGACAGGGUCUCUCUCUCUCUGUGGGGCAGGCAGGGUGCUGAGCUGGUCAGCCAGGAGGGAAAUGUGGCUUAGGGGUGGCACAAAGAUCAAGCUGGGAAGACCAGUGUGGAAACUAUUAAGGGCUUUCCCACAGGGCGGGGCAGUGAAGUCUGGGUUGAAAGGGUUCUGGAAUGAUGGCUGGAGAGGGCGUGGUCUGGCACUGGGGAAGAAGCUGAAUGCGAAGCUUUCGGUGGGGGAAAAUGGGUGGUCCUCGCGAGGGAAUGAGGGUGACCAGCAUCGCCUGCUGCCCGUCUCACCUGUAG